rnacentral:rRNA from 1 species
AAACUUUCAACAACGGAUCUCUUGGUUCUGGCAUCGAUGAAGAACGCAGCAAAAUGCGAUAAGUAAUGUGAAUUGCAGAACUCAGCGAAUCAUCGAAUCUUUGAACGCACAUUGCGCCUGCCGGCAUCCCGGUAGGCAUGCCUGUCCGAGCGUCAUUU